GUUGGGUAGGGGAGCGUUCUGUAAGCCUGUGAAGGUGGCCUGUGAGGGUUGCUGGAGGUAUCAGAAGUGCGAAUGCUGACAUAAGUAACGAUAAAGCGGGUGAAAAGCCCGCUCGCCGGAAGACCAAGGGUUCCUGUCCAACGUUAAUCGGGGCAGGGUGAGUCGACCCCUAAGGCGAGGCCGAAAGGCGUAGUCGAUGGGAAACGGGUUAAUAUUCCCGUACUUGGUGUUACUGCGAAGGGGGGACGGAGAAGGCUAUGUUGGCCGGGCGACGGUUGUCCCGGUUUAAGCGUGUAGGUGUGUGUUCCAGGUAAAUCCGGUUCACUUUAACACUGAGGCGUGAUGACGAGGCACUACGGUGCUGAAGCAACAAAUGCCCUGCUUCCAGGAAAAGCCUCUAAGCAUCAGGUAACAUCAAAUCGUACCCCAAACCGACACAGGUGGUCAGGUAGAGAAUACCAAGGCGCUUGAGAGAACUCGGGUGAAGGAACUAGGCAAAAUGGUGCCGUAACUUCGGGAGAAGGCACGCUGACAUGUAGGUGAAGUGAUUUACUCAUGGAGCUGAAGUCAGUCGAAGAUACCAGCUGGCUGCAACUGUUUAUUAAAAACACAGCACUGUGCAAACACGAAAGUGGACGUAUACGGUGUGACGCCUGCCCGGUGCCGGAAGGUUAAUUGAUGGGGUCAGCGCAAGCGAAGCUCCUGAUCGAAGCCCCGGUAAACGGCGGCCGUAACUAUAACGGUCCUAAGGUAGCGAAAUUCCUUGUCGGGUAAGUUCCGACCUGCACGAAUGGCGUAAUGAUGGCCAGGCUGUCUCCACCCGAGACUCAGUGAAAUUGAACUCGCUGUGAAGAUGCAGUGUACCCGCGGCAAGACGGAAAGACCCCGUGAACCUUUACUAUAGCUUGACACUGAACAUUGAGCCUUGAUGUGUAGGAUAGGUGGGAGGCUUUGAAGUGUGGACGCCAGUCUGCAUGGAGCCGACCUUGAAAUACCACCCUUUAAUGUUUGAUGUUCUAACGUGGACCCGUAAUCCGGGUUGCGGACAGUGUCUGGUGGGUAGUUUGACUGGGGCGGUCUCCUCCUAAAGAGUAACGGAGGAGCACGAAGGUUGGCUAAUCCUGGUCGGACAUCAGGAGGUUAGUGCAAUGGCAUAAGCCAGCUUGACUGCGAGCGUGACGGCGCGAGCAGGUGCGAAAGCAGGUCAUAGUGAUCCGGUGGUUCUGAAUGGAAGGGCCAUCGCUCAACGGAUAAAAGGUACUCCGGGGAUAACAGGCUGAUACCGCCCAAGAGUUCAUAUCGACGGCGGUGUUUGGCACCUCGAUGUCGGCUCAUCACAUCCUGGGGCUGAAGUAGGUCCCAAGGGUAUGGCUGUUCGCCAUUUAAAGUGGUACGCGAGCUGGGUUUAGAACGUCGUGAGACAGUUCGGUCCCUAUCUGCCGUGGGCGCUGGAGAACUGAGGGGGGCUGCUCCUAGUACGAGAGGACCGGAGUGGACGCAUCACUGGUGUUCGGGUUGUCAUGCCAAUGGCACUGCCCGGUAGCUAAAUGCGGAAGAGAUAAGUGCUGAAAGCAUCUAAGCACGAAACUUGCCCCGAGAUGAGUUCUCCCUGAGACU
rnacentral:rRNA from 1 species